UUGGGCUCCAACUCUCUUCUCCUCUGAAGCUGCUUGCAACUACCCUACAAAAGCACAGCUAGUCAAGCCUUUGAGGUAUUCAUCCUACAGAGCUUACAGACUGUGUGAUCAGGAUGGAGAACAAGAAAGCCAGCUGCAAAAUGCUAUAAAUCUGAACACCCUAAAAUCACCCUGGGCAAGUUCUUUCAUGCUAAAGUUUUUAAUACCAUGGGCAAGUCAUUGAACCUUAAUUUUUUCAUCUGUGAAUCAAGAAGUUUGGACUGGAUGUCUUCUGAAGUUCCUUCUGCCUCUAGGUCUAUGAUCCCAUAAUCCUAAAUCCCAUCUCAAAGCCAUCAUCAGCGACAACUCUUGAAAACUUUUUACAAAGAAAUGAUAUGAAAAUACAAUGCAAUAGACAACUAUGAGCUGCAUAAUGCUUUCUCUGGCCUUCCAUUUCCCUGCACCCCCCACCCCCUAUGAAAUAAAAAUAAUUUACAUUCAUUUC